rnacentral:rRNA from 1 species
GAUGAACGCUGGCGGCGUGCUUAACACAUGCAAGUCGAACGGAAAGGCCGAAGCUUGCUUCGGUACUCGAGUGGCGAACGGGUGAGUAACACGUGGGUGAUCUGCCCUGUACUUCGGGAUAAGCUUGGGAAACUGGGUCUAAUACCGGAUAUGACGAUCUCUUGGAUGGGGUUGUGGAAAGCUUUUGCGGUAUGGGAUGAGCUCGCGGCCUAUCAGCUUGUUGGUGGGGUAAUGGCCUACCAAGGCGUCGACGGGUAGCCGGCCUGAGAGGGUGUACGGCCACAUUGGGACUGAGAUACGGCCCAGACUCCUACGGGAGGCAGCAGUGGGGAAUAUUGCACAAUGGGCGCAAGCCUGAUGCAGCGACGCCGCGUGGGGGAUGACGGCCUUCGGGUUGUAAACUCCUUUCGCAAUCGACGAAGCCUUUUGGUGACGGUAGGUUGAGAAGAAGCACCGGCUAACUACGU